CCCGGGAAAGCCCCGACGGCGCGGGAUGGGGCCGCGGCCCAUUAGGUAGACGGCGGGGUAACGGCCCACCGUGCCCGCGAUGGGUAGCCGGACUGAGAGGUCGACCGGCCACAUUGGGACUGAGAUACGGCCCAGACUCCUACGGGAGGCAGCAGUGGGGAAUUUUGCGCAAUGGGGGAAACCCUGACGCAGCAACGCCGCGUGCGGGACGAAGGCCUUCGGGUUGUAAACCGCUUUCAGCAGGGAAGACAUAGACGGUACCUGCAGAAGAAGCUCCGGCUAACUACGUGCCAGCAGCCGCGGUAAUACGUAGGGGGCGAGCGUUAUCCGGAUUCAUUGGGCGUAAAGCGCGCGUAGGCGGCCGCCUAAGCGGAACCUCUAAUCCCGGGGCUCAACCUCGGGCCGGGUUCCGGACUGGGCGGCUCGAGUGCGGUAGAGGCAGGCGGAAUUCCCGGUGUAGCGGUGGAAUGCGCAGAUAUCGGGAAGAACACCGAUGGCGAAGGCAGCCUGCUGGGCCGCCACUGACGCUGAGGCGCGAAAGCUGGGGGAGCGAACAGGAUUAGAUACCCUGGUAGUCCCAGCCGUAAACGAUGGGCGCUAGGUGUGGGGGGACAGUCCCCCCGUGCCGCAGCCAACGCAUUAAGCGCCCCGCCUGGGGAGUACGGCCGCAAGGCUAAAACUCAAAGGAAUUGACGGGGGGCCGCACAAGCAGCGGAGCAUGUGGCUUAAUUUGAAGCAACGCGAAGAACCUUACCAGGGCUUGACAUGCGAGUGAAGCCGCGGAGACGCGGUGGCCGAGAGGAGCUCGCGCAGGUGGUGCAUGGCUGUCGUCAGCUCGUGUCGUGAGAUGUUGGGUUAAGUCCCGCAACGAGCGCAACCCCCGUCCCGUGUUGCCAGCAUUGAGUUGGGGACUCGCGGGAGACUGCCGGCGUCAAGCCGGAGGAAGGUGGGGAGGACGUCAAGUCAUCAUGCCCCUUAUGCCCUGGGCGGCACACGUGCUACAAUGGCCGGUACAGAGGGAUGCCACCCCGCGAGGGGGAGCGGAUCCCGGAAAGCCGGUCCCAGUUCGGAUCGCAGGCUGCAACCCGCCUGCGUGAAGUCGGAGUUGCUAGUAAUCGCGGAUCAGCAUGCCGCGGUGAAUAAAAUGCCGGGCCUUGCACU
rnacentral:rRNA from 1 species